rnacentral:ribozyme from 1 species
AAUGCAUUUGAGGAAAGUCCGGGCUCUAGAAAGGUAAAAAUUGCUGGGUAAUACCCAGUGCGUAUGUUGUAGUUACUUUGUAAUUAAAAUACAAAGGUUAGAUCGUAAAUAUUUGAUCGAUUACUACAUUUUACGUGAGGAAAGUGCCACAGAAAGAUACCGCCAAAAUAAAGGUAAGGGUGCAAAAGUUUGGUAACAACAAAUAUCUAAAAUUGAAAAAUUUUAGUAUAGUAAACCCCAUUUUAGAGCAAGG